CCCCGGUUCCUUCCCCCGCCCCGGCGGGCGGGCAGGCGGCGCGGCUGGGCGUGCGGGCUGCGCUGCGAAAAAGAGGGGUUUCAGUUUUUCCUGGAAAUACAGACUUAUGAGUGGGGCCAGUACACGAAAAAGGAUAAGCAAGGACUUAGCCACGUUUCUGCAAAAAAUGAAGUCACCAUAAAUUUGAGUAUAUGGUAUUUUUGGUGUCCACCUCUCUGCUAACUCAGGCUAUUUAUCAUUUUAAUAAGCUGUCUGCACAUGUGUUUUAUCGCUGUAUAGUGUUGCCACCUACCAAUGAAUUGUGUAAAUUACUCCCAGUACACAAAGCUGAAAUUGCAAUGACUUACUCCAGCCUUCAGCUUGUUGAAAAGGCCAUGUGGUCUUUCUCAGCAGCAUCCAGCUGAAGGGUAUCAUGUCCAAAGAAUUUGGAUUUAGGAAUCAUGUGAGUUUUGCUUUAACCUCCCUGCUUUUCUGCUCUUUUCUGUGCAUGUAUCUUCCUUUCCUCAGUACUCUACAGCAUGUAUUUUUCUGACAUAAAAAGCAGCGUUCAGAGAGGCUGUUUGAUUCCCAAAACAGCGGUCGACUUCAACGCAACCAUGUAGCAUCAAAUGUCCGAUCCUUUUAGGUAAUCACCGUAGUCCUAUAACCCCUCUGCUUGCUGAAUACACACAAAACUGCAAAGGCAUUUUGCUUUAAAUUACAUGUAUGGAGAAAAUGAAUGCUGUUUAAUUUGUGAAAGCAUUUAAACAAAGAUGCUUUCCGGUGCUGCCUGUUCUAAGUCUUUUGCAGUAUAUAUUGAUUGUCUGAUAGGAAAAUAAAGUUCCAUCCUCUAAAUUUUACCAAAUCACUUUCAAUGAUUCUUGCAACAGGUAGCUCUUAGUCUUGUAUAUAGUACAUACAUUUUUAAAUGGGAAAUUAUUAUGAGGGUGUUACCAUGGGAGGGAGGAAAUGUGGAAACACUAACAGAGGUAAGGCUCUAAGUGCUGUCAAAGCAUCAGUUCCAGAAACUUUAUGUGGUGAGGGGGAAUGUGCCAAAGAAAAAACCAGGGCAGGCAGUGCCUGUGUGAUGGAUGGAGCUGUGCUGACUCCCUUCCAGGCUCUUCCAUCGUCACUCGCUUUGAGUGCCAGGGUCGGCGGAGCCGUGCAGCUGCGAAUGAUUUGGGCAGGAGCUUGCCAGGAGCUGCCAAACAGCCUGUAACACGUGCGAGGACGGGAACGCUCUCUGCAUGUGUGAAACUCGCAGCACGGAGCCUCCUGGUUAGCGGGGGGGCAGGCUGCCUUGCCUUAGGACAACAGAUCAAAACUCAGCCCUGGGCCUUACCCAAAGUAGAGCCUCUGUAAAAGAUCAAAUGCUCUGCAAGGAGAACAGUACAUCCUCACCUUCCACCUGACUCGUAGGAGAUUUCCCCAGUUUUUUACGCUGGUUUCAAGUUUCUUUCACCCGAUUCUCGAAGUUGAUUGGGGGGAAAUAUGCCUAAGAAUAGGGGGAAUUGGAAGACUUCGAAGCUACAGUAAGGUUUGGUUAAGCAUUCAUAUUUUUGGGGGCUUACCCGUAGCACGCCAGAGAUCCUGCUGGUGUUUGAAGCCUGACAAAAUGUUUUCUUGAUAAUCCCGGAGGAGACUUGCGAGGGUAGAGCUGGGAUAUUCCCAGCAUCUGCCAAGUGGUAAAGUUGGCAGUAGUCAGCAUAUGGAAAAUUGCAGCAUGAAUCAUGUAUUUGUCUGAUACUUUUUAUUUUAAACUUUUUAAUUGCUUCUUUCAGAUACCCAUAAAAAUGGAAGUGCCAGUUAAGGAAGGUGGUUAUAACAUUUGUGAUAUCUUUAAACAGUGGAAAAAGUGUUCCAGCUGUGCAGUCCUGGUGCUGUUUCUGUGAGAUGGUUCAUGAUACUUGCACCAAAUCAUCUGUGCAGCUGAGGUUAGAACAUUCCUGUGGCAAGCUCCUCCAGUACUGAUGGCUGCCUAUGUAACCUGCAGCUCUGCUUUGUGGAGUUGAUUAUCUUCAGAUUUGGGCAUCAUAACAAAUGAUUAAAACUGCCAUUUCUGCGAUGUGGGCUAUACGCUGGCAGGUCUGGAAUUUCCCGUCGACUGCGUGUUGUACAUGUCAGUACUGUAAACCAGAGAGUCAGGAAUUGGAGGUGCCUGGCAGCCAUCUUUCUACCGCUUUCUAGUUCUGUUUGUGAUGGGGUAAAGUCAGAAGUGUGCGAGUUUUAAAGGAGCACAGAGAGAGUUGUGAGAUUUCACGAUCACACAUCUCUUUUCAAGAGUUCCACGCAGUGUUUUCUGCCUGGUAAAUAAUUGACCAAAAAAAUGGAAGUACAGCCACAUUGAAUUGCCUUUUUUUUGUCACUUCAGGAAGUUUGCAUCUCAGUUUUCCACUUGAUUCCCAUCCUCACUAGUAGUGUAUCCAUGGACUCAGACCAGGCCAUCGUUUCUCCAGUGUCUGACCUGUGGAAACAACAUCUAUCCUUGAAAAUAGCAUUGUGAUCUUUCGCCUGUGCAGUCCAUGGUAGCUACUCUAUCAUUUGGCUGUCUCCUUGAGGGAGCAGGGCUUCUGUUAGAAAUGAGGCAUGGAAUGAAAUGGACCUUUGCUCUUACAAAGCCUGGGUGCCCUGAAGAUGUUCAGGCUGGUUCAGAAGGAAGGCUUAGUGUGCAGGCUAGCAGAGGUCAGCUGCACGACCUGAUGAGAGGCAAAAGGACGUCAGGUAAGGGAAGUGCAUGCCAAGUGUGUGGAGUAUUCUUUUUCUAGUAACUUGGAGAUG